rnacentral:rRNA from 1 species
GAUCCUGGCUCAGGAUGAACGCUAGCGAUAGGCUUAACACAUGCAAGUCGAGGGGCAGCAUGAUUUGUAGCAAUACAGAUUGAUGGCGACCGGCGCACGGGUGAGUAACGCGUAUGCAACUUACCUAUAAGAGGGGGAUAGCCCGGCGAAAGUCGGAUUAAUACCCCAUAAAACAGGGGUCCCGCAUGGGAAUAUUUGUUAAAGAUUCAUCGCUGAUAGAUAGGCAUGCGUUCCA